rnacentral:lncRNA from 1 species
GAGUUAAGGUGGUGACAGUGCAAAUGAAGAAGUAAAUGUGUAUGCAACAUGUUUUUGGAGAAGAAAGCCAAGAAGGAGUAGCAAUGGCCAUGGAAAUGCUGAUCAAGGAGGUAAAGUCUUCAGUGACCGAAUGAUCAAGUCAGGAAAAAACCACUUCGGAAAGGUUUAGUGGGUGGUGUAGCUGAACGUAAAAAGAGCUUAGGGUUUUGAGUGAGAAGGAAAAGAAAUCCUUUUAAUGUGACCAUGAGAAGCAAGGCAGAUGCUUGCUAGCUCUCAUGGAGUUAGAGGGGGGAAAAAAAAAGAAAAAAGCCUCCCCCGGAGAGGGUUCCAGGAGAAGUUGUGUUAGAAGGGGACAGACCAGCUUUCAGUUAAGGCGUGGAAAUGAGAGGGUUGCUCCUGUACAAACAGAGUCUGCUGAUCAGAGAUCGGGAGUCCCAGAGGACAGGGUGAGAGCAUUUAGAGGAAGAGGAGAGGAGGCGAGGGGUUUGAAAUCCACAGCGUGACAUGAGAGUGAGUGGCCUCAGAAUAAUAAUGGUUACCGCUAAAGCCUGGGACUUCUGCAGGGAGUGCAAAUAACCUGGAACCCGAGGCACGACAAGAUAAAUCUUGAGAGGCUCAUGAGAAGGAGGACAAUAGAUACAAGCUAUGACCCUGAACAAGCGGCUUGAUGGCAUGAAGGUCUCUAGGUGACUUUUCCCUCCUGCAACGCAUGCAAUGGUUGGUCUGGGUGAUGGGGUCACUGGGUGCCACCCCUCCAUCCUACAAGGACAAUGACUCAUGUGGCUAGGGUCCAGAGGAAUACUCUCUCAGAGAGCUGGACAUAGAGUUUCUGUAGCUGCCAUGUUCGUAUUAGAUCCCAUGUCUCUAGACAUAAUUCAUUGGAACACGGAUGGGCACCUGCCCCAACCUGGACCAGUUAGAGUCUUUUCCUAGAAUCUUCUGCUUAGGACAGGGAGCCCUUCACUGGGGAUGGAAGUCAUUAGAUAUAAAACAUGGUCUCUGCAGACAGCUAGUUUUCCAGUCAUGCAGACAGAGCCAGUCUAAACAAGAAUAAUCAACUGUUUCUUGAAUGUCAUGGGCCAAUUAAUUUUACCUUUUGGUCUAAGAUAAAGUCAGGUUUCUGUGCCUCAAAACCCAGAAUACUAACUUGAAACCAAAGACUAAUAGCUAUGCACAAAUUCUGUCACCACCUUCUAUUGACCAUAGCAAGACGUAGUGUAACAGCUCCUUAAAAUUAGCUAUACAGACAACAGUGUGGUUCCACUCCAGUGCCCUGCAGCCUAGGCACCCAGGAAGAGUUAGUGUUUCAUUAUGAAUGCAAAGGCAGGGAAAAACUGAUGACUCCACUCAAAGACCAUCAGGCAAAAGGAAUUCACUCUUAUUCAGCCCAUGUGUUCUACUCAGGCCUUCAACUGAUUGGACGAGGCCCAUCCAUGUUAGGGAGAGGCAUCUGCUUUCUCUACCAAUUCAAAUGUUAAUCUCUGGAGACAUCUUCACAGACACGCCCAAAAUAACAUCCAGCCAAAUAACUGCUCACCCCACGGCCCAGUCCAGUUGACAUACAACAUGAGCUAUCCCACUACACAAUCUUUCACAGCUGCCUUCCAAUGUAUGUCUGCCUUUCAUUGUAUUGAGGGCUGCAGGAUGUAUUACUACUGUUAUUGAGUAGGUCCAGAUGCCAGGAUUGUGUGCUUGUGAUGGUGACUUGGACUAGCUCUUGGGUUAGGUGAAGUCCUGAUGAAGGAACAGCAGAGGUAGGGAAAUCAUGCAAAGGACAAGAAAGGAAACCCCUGAGCUGACUUUCCUCCCUUCGCUGAGUGAGCAGACUAUUUUAAGCAAGAGGAGUUGACAACAUCUGGAAAACUCUAUAAAGUAGUUUGUGAAAGUCCAUAAAGCAGAAUGAGCUUUAGGAAGGUUAACUGAAAGAGACUGUCCUCCAGGAAAGCCAAGUUGGUGGGGUGAAAGUUUCAUAAUCUGGGCAGAAUACAAAAACAUCACCAGUGUGACGCUUGCAACGGUAUCAAGGAGAGCAGGAAUCUGAUUCCAAGGCAAAAAUCAGAGCUUAGAAAGAAAUCCCUCAGUUUACUCAUCUGAAGAAUGGACAUAAAAAUACUGUGUUGUGCAGGGGAUUUGCUAGUUUAUUCUCUGGGGGCUGUCACACUAUGUCAUGCUAGGGUCAAUGGAGGAAGACUGCAGAAUUUGGGUACUUGCUAUGAUUCUUGCAAGGAACCAUUAGAAACCACCUGCCACAUUGUAAGGGUUCCUUACCUUCUACUGCCUGCUGCCCUUGCACCCAGGGGCUGGGGCAACACAGAAGACGUGAAGGGCAAGAGCUAUGAGAUCAAAGACCGGGGCGGAAGCCUCAGGGGCCAAGCCUUUAAGGGAGACUUUUCUGAAAUGGCUGGCAUAGUAGCAGCUGUGAGAUUCCCCAGCACAGGCAUGUCUUUGCAUAUUGGGCUUAGGGGGCUUCCUUGGGCCCAAUGUGUUACUAUCUUUCUUCUAACGCUCAUCAUUCUUUCACAGCAAUGGUCUCUUCUGUUCGUGGAGCAUCUCUGGGCAGAUGACAGAGGGGGAACCCUGGUUUUCAUGGUCCUGAGUAUUCGAGAAGUUCAAGGACUCCUUUGCCUCAGAUAAAUCACCGAAGGCCAAGUCAAGGCUCAAGCCCGGAUCUCAGCCCUCACAUGCCAUGCUACACUGUCUCCAUGAAGUCGCAGCACACUGCUUUGCCCUGACUGGGCUUUUUGGACACAGUAAAUAUGAAAUAAAGUUGCAGCGCCUCAAUUGGCUCAUGCGUUUUUGAGCACUUACUAGAAACAGGGAUGCAAAUGAAGGGCUGAUGCACCAACUCUCACUCCAAAACGGCCCUUGAAUUCGUCCUCCUCUGCAGCCUCUGCCCCUGCCUCUACUCAGCCUCCACUUUUCAUGUGGCCAAAGCCACCUGUUCUCCCUGUCUGCAGCUGCUCCAUCCUUCCUACUGUUACCAUCAUUUGUGCCUCUGUCUUCAGUGAAAACCCCAAUGGCACCCAAAUCAUGUUGGCAGAGUUCUUCCAUCGCGGUUACACAGUAGAAUUCCCAGGGCAUUAAAUGUCAGGCCCUGUCCCAGAUAUUCUGACCUUAACUGGCCUGGGGUGGGACCAUUGUUCUAUUUGUUUUAAUCUCCAGGCUACAGUCAAGGGCUGCCAAGGCUGAAAAUCUUUUGGAUUACCAAGUAAAGCCAGAUCUCCUGAGCAUGAUAUCCGAAGCCCUUCACACUGAGCAGUAAUCAAUAUUUCUUGCCUCUCCCCGUGUACAUUUGUUAUUACAAUGUUAUGAAAAUGUCUGUCAUCUCUGUUCAACUGUGAGUUUCUCAAGGACAAAACCCCUGUCAUUCAUCUCUGUGUCCCUCAUAGUCAUCAUAACACCUACAAACAGUAAGUGCUUAAUAAAUGUUGGUUGGGUGGGUGGAUGGUAAGUGGUUGGCGGGAGUGGGGACCAGUGACUAGUAAGUAGUAAAAUUCUGAACUAACCUGCUCAGGGACCUGCACUCCCAGAGCUGAAUGACCAGGACAAAGAAGGAAGUCUCUUACAUCAAUGUGUCUCUAUUUGCUCCAGAAAAUUCUUGCCAAGGAAGAUAAAGGCGUAAAGGGUAUAAACCCUUGGUCCACUAAUCCCAAAUAUUGAACUUGAACUUUGCCUGAUCCCAAUCAGAUCCCCGUGUUGAAAUUCCAUCUACCUUCAGCCAGAUUUUCAAAUCCUAACCUCUCUCCUCUUAGACCCUAGACAUUAUCAAUUGGGUAUUCUUCCUAUUUUAGUUAAGCAAUACACUCAACUUUGUUUGAUCAAUAGGUUAUUUUAGUGGCCUUUUAGGGCAUCAAAAAUCAACACCUCCAUUCUUUUCUUAUCUCACAGUGUGGUUUUGGGUAAGUCAGAUAUGUUGUCAAAUAUCUCUGGAUAUAAAAUGAAUCCGAGAAUUCUUAUCACUUGCCUUCCUUGCAAAGUCAUUAGAGAAUGAAAUAUGCUACAAUUUUCUGCAACGCUUUCCAUCCAAGGAUCUCAAAGCACUUUAUUUCUGCCAGAUGCAAAUACAUUACAUGAUUAAUAGUCUGCUUCUGAAAGUCACAGGGAAAAGGAUUUCAUGGCUCCAAG